CAGCCGCCGCGGUAAUACGUAGGUGGCAAGCGUUGUCCGGAAUUAUUGGGCGUAAAGCGCGCGCAGGCGGUUUCUUAAGUCUGAUGUGAAAGCCCCCGGCUUAACCGGGGAGGGUCAUUGGAAACUGGGAGACUUAGAGUGCAGAAGAGGAGAGUGGAAUUCCAUGUGUAGCGGUGAAAUGCGUAGAUAUAUGGAGGAACACCAGUGGCGAAGGCGACUCUCUGGUCUGUAACUGACGCUGAGGAGCGAAAGCGUGGGGAGCGAACAGGAUUAGAUACCCGCGUAGUCCCUGUCUCUUAUA
rnacentral:rRNA from 1 species